rnacentral:lncRNA from 1 species
AUGAAAGUCAACAAUGUCAACAUAACGCUUAAUCAAAUAUAAUUGUAAUUAAAUAUUUGAUAAUGAUCAUUUUUGAUUAGCGUUCGAACAACUGGCCCUUAACGUGUUUGUAAAUUUUUAGUUGUGAGACGUUUCAAGUACCUUCUUACGGUUGUUUUAAUUUUCAUCUGAAUUAGAAUCAAAUGAUAAAAUAAGUCAGACGAAGUAAUGCCAUAAUCUAAAAGAAUGCUAAGAUUACUAUUACGGGUAGUACAUCGUUAAUAAACUCCAAAUUGCCUUUUUGUAUGAAAAAUUCACUGUAAAGUAUUAAAUAUUAUUCAAUAAGUACUGUAGAAGUCAAAUGUUGAUUUGCGCUGCUCUGUGGUAGAAAAAUAUUACAAAAUAUAAAUGCAAUACCAAUUUUCUAGUAAUAAAAGAAAACAUCUGUAAUAAAUCUGUCUCUAGAAAUAUAUUUUAAAAUUUCUGAGGGAAAAAUUAACAAUUUAAAAUUCAAGUGAAGAGUAGCUGAUUACCUGAGUAGCUGUUAUAAUUCUUUAAACAGUAAAUAAAGUAUGUAUAUUUCGAAAUGGUUUUACAAAAUGACAAACUUUUGUAUGUAGCUAUUUUAGAAUAAAGAAUAAAAUACCAUCAUCAUUGUUGCCUAUAAUCCCUUCGGAUUAUGCCCUACGCUUUUGCGUACUAUCCGAUUCUGAGGUGGAUUAGUCCUCUUUCUCCUCUUUUGGAAACCAUAUGUGUUCGCGCUGAUUUCGUUAUAUGUCUCCAUUCCUUCCUAUUUGCAUUUAUUGUCACUCCACCAUCUUGUUUACGGUCUCCGUGGCUUCUUCAUUGAAUUACGGUCCACGCUCGUACAUUUUUUAAUCAUCUUAUUUACAGAUCUUCUGAUGAUGUAUCAUAUCUAUCCUAAGCGCUGUGAUUUAAUAACUAUCACUAAAAAUUUGAAGUUGUCGGUCUUUAGGUAUCCUUCUUUGUUUGCUUUGUUUUUUCUUCAAUGUAUUCUCGUUUCGUUUCUUUGACCAGAAAAUGUUCACUUUCUGGAUAAUUUUUGGUCCAGAAAAUACCAGUUUUCUGGUCAAGACCGGAAAGUGAACGUUAAAAUUCAUUAUUUUUUCUCUCGCGUUUCCAAAGACAUAAAAGACUACUCCCAUUUCUACACCUUUAUUAUUGCUACUAUAAAAAAUGUGUACUUUCCUUUCUAUAUUUCCCCAUUGUUUCUCCAUCUCACCUGCUGUAGAGCUGUCAUCUGGAUUUGGUACUUUUCAAUUUCUCUUUCAAUUUCUUCCAUUUGCCCCGUCUUUAGAAUCGUUUUUACAUGGCUAUUGCAUUUGCAAAGCCAAUUGCAUUAGCAAAGUUGCUAUUCUUGUUUGUUUAUAUUGCUUUCUUUUAUUGUUUCCUUUAUAAAUAAUAUUCAUUUCUUUUUUCUCCGCCUGGUUAAGACCUCUAUUAUCGGCCCCUGGUGCUUCUAUCAGUUUCUGUGGUUCAUUUAACUUAUCUUUAUUUUCGUUCCAUUUCCACAGUUUGGCUUCCAUAGUUAGUUUACUAAAUCCGAUUAUUACUUCUUGGUACAUACCACAGUCUUGUGAUACUCCAAUUACCAAUUAGUGCAAGAAUGCUAAGUGCUAAGUCUACUGUUACGGGUAGUACAUCUUGAACAAACUCCAAAUUGCGCUUCUGUAUGACAAAUUCAUUGUAAAGAUUAUUGAAUGGUUAUUAUAAUCAGUCAAAUGUUGUUUUUCAUUGUUUGCGGUAGGAAUAUACAUAGAUAUUACAAAACUGAAUUAUCUAUGAUACCAAUUAUCUAGCAAUAAAAGAAAACAUCUGUAAUAAAUCCAUUUCGAGAAAUAUAUUUUAAAAUUUCUGAAAGACAUUAACAAUUUAAAUGAAGAGAGGCUGAUUAGUAUGUUGUUAUAGUUCUCUAAACAGUAAAUAAAGUAUAUUUCGAAAAAAUGGUUUUACAAAAUGACAAACUUUUUUAUUUCCGAAUAAAGAAUAAUAUUAAAUA